rnacentral:rRNA from 1 species
CGCGCCGUAUUAGCUAGUUGGUAAGGUAACGGCUUACCAAGGCAACGAUACGUAGCCGACCUGAGAGGGUGAUCGGCCACACUGGAACUGAGACACGGUCCAGACUCCUACGGGAGGCAGCAGUAGGGAAUCUUCCGCAAUGGGCGAAAGCCUGACGGAGCAACGCCGCGUGAGUGAUGAAGGUCUUCGGAUCGUAAAACUCUGUUAUUAGGGAAGAACAAAUGUGUAAGUAACUGUGCACGUCUUGACGGUACCUAAUCAGAAAGCCACGGCUAACUACGUGCCAGCAGCCGCGGUAAUACGUAGGUGGCAAGCGUUAUCCGGAAUUAUUGGGCGUAAAGCGCGCGUAGGCGGUUUCUUAAGUCUGAUGUGAAAGCCCACGGCUCAACCGUGGAGGGUCAUUGGAAACUGGGAAACUUGAGUGCAGAAGAGGAAAGUGGAAUUCCAUGUGUAGCGGUGAAAUGCGCAGAGAUAUGGAGGAACACCAGUGGCGAAGGCGACUUUCUGGUCUGUAACCGACGCUGAUGUGCGAAAGCGUGGGGAUCAAACAGGAUUAGAUACCCUGGUAGUCCACGCCGUAAACGAUGAGUGCUAAGUGUUAGGGGGUUUCCGCCCCUUAGUGCUGCAGCUAACGCA